CUAUUUUUUUUUCAAAUUCCAUUCUCUCUCUCUCUCUCUCUCUCUCUCUCUCUCUCUCUCUCUCUUAUCAAUCUCCAUUUGAGAAGUUGAAGAAUUUUCCAUUUCUAUAUAGCUAUGGCUUUCGAGAACUCCAGCGAUAAAAACAUUGUUUUUCGAAAGCUCAAAUCCAAGCCUGAAAAUGAGAUGUGUUUUGAUUGCAAUGUUAAGAAUCUAACUUAGGCAUCGGUGACGUAUGAGAUCUUCUUGUGUAUUGAUUGCUCCGUUGUUCGUCGCAGCCUUGACAUUCAUAUCAGUUUUGUUAGUCAAGGGAUGCCGUUUUCGGCGAUGGGUGGGCUGGUGGCUUCGAUUGGACUCACUGGUUUCGGCGUUUCUCGAUGAAUUUUCAACAGAGGGAGGGUCUAUUCGUCGAAUUUCACCGUGACAGUGACCGACAACAGUAGUAAUUAAUGGUGUUUUACCGGCGAGUAUUAGCCUGGACCAUUCAUGUAUUCAUAAAAUAGAUAUGUAUAUGUUGUAAUAUAAGUAUAAUAUGUAUUCUGUAAAUACAAAGUGCCACUAUAUUGAAAUGGAAAGUAUAUACAU